AAAUGAAUAGACGGGGGCCCGCACAAGCAGCGGAGCGUGUGGUUUAAUUCGAGGCUACACGAAGAACCUUACCUGGGUUUGACAUCACGGUGGUAGGGACCUGAAAGGGAACCGACCGCAAGGAGCCGUGACAGGUGCUGCAUGGCUGUCGUCAGCUCGUGUCGUGAGAUGUUCGGUUAAGUCCGAAAACGAGCGCAACCCUCGGGGGAAGUUACACGUGUCUGACCCGACUGCCUGCGAGAAGCAGGAGGAAGGUGGGGAUGACGUCAAGUCAGCAUGGCCUUUAUAUCCAGGGCUACACACACGCUACAAUGGGCGGUACAGUGGGAAGCGAAGCUGUGAGGCGGAGCGGAUCCAAAAAGCCGUUCGUAGUUCGGAUUGCAGGCUGCAACUCGCCUGCAUGAAGCUGGAGUUGCUAGUAACCGCAGGUCAGCGAUACUGCGGUGAAUACGUUCCCGGGCCUUGUACACACCGCCCGU
rnacentral:rRNA from 1 species